AUGCCGCGGGCCAGGCAGGCAGUCCCGGAUCUGCAGCCUCUCCUGGGCCGGGUGUCUCCGUCAUUUCCCGUGUGCUGGGGAGGACUUAAGCUCUUGACCAGUGAGUCAUCGGGGCCGCCGGUUCUGACCCCGGCUCUUCCCGGUGUCUGUUCGCAGGCACUGCCUCGCCCUUGGCCGCGCCGGCCGCAGCAUACCCAGUUGCUCCGCGGCGGAAGCGGGGCGGGGCCGGGCCGGGCCGGGCGCGCAGGGACUGAGGGUGGGCGGCCCCCGCCGGCGACCGCCCCUGCCGUGACUGCUCGUCGCCGUCUCCGUCGCCUCCCGCCACUGCUCCGCGCCAUGAGCGGUGGUGGGGCCGAGGUCCUCGGCCCGCCGCCCGCUGAGGGCGAGCGCCCCCUCAGCCCCUCCGAAGGCUCGCCGCUCUCCCUGGCCUCCCGCUCCAGCUCCCCGGGCUGUGAGGAAGAGGAGCGGCUGGCGGCCUCUCGGAGCCCGCCAGGCCAUAGGAGGGCUGAACAUUCUGAAAUAGCAGGAAGAAGAAAAGUGUCACUUUUGAAAGAUAACCUUUCACCAUGGGAAGAAUGGUUCAUUAGCAAAGAGAAGGAGUUGCGUGCCCGCUUACAAGCUAGAGCUGCAGAGGUGAUUACAUCCAAUUAUUUUGAUUCUAAGUCUAAUAAAAGAUUGCAUAUUUAGGACUUCCUUUUCGUUGGUUGUCAAAACACAAGUAGUUGGUUUUUUUAUUUUUUUUUAUGUCUUAGUCCUCCAUAGUGCUUGUGUUUGUCAGUGCUGGCAUGAUUCAUGUUAUGUGCAUUUUCUUUUACUACAUGUUAUGCUUCAUUGAACUGGUGCUGUAUAAUAUUUAGAUUAUCCAACUGUCAGGUAAUGGUUCGAUGUUAGAAGAUUAAAACAUUUAUAUAAUUACUACAUUGAUUUUCAGCAUGGGUAUGUACGCCUGCAUGUGGGUUGUAGAAGAAAAUGGGACGUGUGCUGAUUAUAAAUAUGCCAGGCUGCUUGGUUAGUUUUGUGACACAGUGCUGUUACCCACUUAGCAUGUACAGUAAUUUCACAAUUAUACGGCACACUUCUGGGUGUCGGCAAAUUUCCAAACUUUUUCCAUAUAUAAGACGCACUGGAUUAUAAGGCGCACCUUUUUUUUGCAGCAAGGAUCCACGCACAACAAAGUAACGAAUUGCUAACAGAAUCGCGCAAUCGCGGGUUUACUGGCAGGUGCUCAAUUUGCAAACAUUUUUCACGGAUUGGCGUAACCUUUAAACGCAACCUGAAAAGGAAUUAAAACACUAAAAAAAAAAACCCAAAGAAAAAUCAAUCACUUUUAUUAAACCUGCAGCUCCACUCUUGCGCAGGUGAGACCCAGGGAGGUGAGGGCAGCGGGAAAGUUUCCUGGUGAGCGGCAGAGCCCCCCGAGUGCCGUGCUGGCCGGACCGGUGCCGGGGUGGCCCAGGCGCCUAGGGCUGUGGGAUACUCGGUGCUGCUGCCCCCCACCCUGGGCAGUGUUCCCGGGUGCCGCGGGCCCUGGAAUCCUGCAGCCGCCGUUCUCCUGCACCCUGCAGCUGGCACCGGGCGGGCCCCACUGCUCACCGGCCAGGCUUGUGCCCUGCCCCGGGACGUGGAUGCGGCCCACGUUUGCCUCCGCACCCCGGGACCCUGCGGUAGAAAAAACCUCUCUCCUACACGUUCGGGCCAGCUAGUGCCAGUGACCCCUGGAAGGAAAAAAAAGGAAACCACAACCGUCCAUCCCAACCACUCAAACCCCCCCAGCAAUUGAGACAUUGAGAGCACCCACCCAUCUCUUUUGUCUUGAGCAAUUAAAAGCUAAGGGAGCUGCCCUGCCAGCUUUGUUAGCAUGAUAAUGGGAAAAAUUUCUCCACAGAGGGAAAAAGUACUCUGCCUGCUCGUGGUCAUUUGAUUGUGAGCUUCAUGUUUGUUGCUGCACAAUGUGAAACAGAAAUUGUUUCGAGAUCCCUUCAAUACUCAAACUUUUUCAAUAUAUAAGGGGAACUGGAUUAUAAGGCACACUUCUGGGUUUCAAUCAAAAUUUUAGGCUUUAAGGUACGCCUUAUAGUCAUGAAAUUACUGUAAUUUUACAACUGUUUGGUGUCCUUUUCCAGGAUAGGGAUCCCUGUUACAGCAUUUUUUUCCCCUCAUUCUAUCUUUUGCCCCCUUGCAGAUGAGCAGUUCUUGAGAACCAGGGCUGGGAUACAAUUAAGUGAGAGCACUCUGUCUUGAUUACUCUGUUUGUAGUUGCAGUUUGGUUAAAUUAUACUGUUGUUAAAAAUCCAAUGGGAAGUAUUGGGUAGUGAUUAGAACAAUCACAUGAAAGUUAGAUAAUUUCUCGCUUUAGUUACUGAUUAACUAUUUGACCUUGGAUGUUUUCCUAGCCUUUCUGUGAUUAUCUGUAAAGUGAAUAUAGCAUAUAACUGUUUUAUGUAUGCUACCUCAUGUUGUUUAUGAAACACCUACCACUGGAAGGUUCGGGAACAAAAUUUUACAGGUCAACAGUACACUAAAGUAGUUUGUUAAAUUUGAGGAAUAUGCUUUGAUCCAUUAAUCCCCAUCCACCAAACAUUUUGUGAUUUCCCAAUUAUAUUCUGGAUUGGUAAUGGAAAUGUAAGCUAGCAGAUAUCUUUCAACUAAGUAUUAAGAAAAUAAUAGAACAAGCAUUACUUAAAGCUAUGUAGAAAAUAGUCGUAUAGGUAAAUUUUCUUAGUUUGUAAGAUUUUGAAAACAUUAGAUGUUAAACUGCAGCAAGACAGUAUGAAAAACUUAUAUUUGGGGGGGAAAUAUAAUCAACAUUUUUGUAAGAUGCCAGAAGAGAAUAUGUGAUAUUUAUAUAAGAAAAUAUUGCUACAUUUACAGUAAUUUCAUGAAUACAAGCUGCACUGAGUGUAAGCCGCAUCUCUGGGUGCUGGCAAAUAUUUCGUUCUUUGUCCAUAAAUAAGCCGCACCUGAGUAUAAGCCGCUCUGUCGUUCGCAGCGAGGACCCGCGUGCAGCAAAGUUGCCAAAUAGUAACAGAACCGCGGCAUGGCGGGGUUUACUGACUCAGCUCGGGCCGUGCGGGCUCGGCCUGCUCAGGGCUGCCGACGGCGCCAGGUGGCUCAGCUCGGCGCUGCCGCUCAGGGCCGGCCACCGCUGCCACUGGGCUCAGUCACCAUGACCCGGCGCUGCCCCAUGGUGGCAGGCAGGGACGGAGCCCGCUCCCGUGGUGGCGGGCGGGGACGGAGCACCCCACCUCCUCCCCGGGCUGUGGCAAUAGCGGCACGGGGCCCCCGCCGCCUCGCCCCCCCUUCUCUCCCCCGGGCUGCAGCAGAGGAGGGAAGGAGAGAGCUCUCCCUCCUCUCUCCCUGCCCCCCGUGCUGCCUGCAGGGAGCCAGGCUCCACCCGCGGUGCAACAGAGUAACAAUUUGUAACAAUCGCGAAAUGCCGGCUUUUACUGGCAACUGCUUGGCUCGGCGCCCUGGCUGGCACUUCUGAGUUUGUAAAUGUCAGAAAAUUAUUCACAUAUUGGCCACUCCUGAGUAUAAGCCGCAUUUCCGGUUUGGGAACAAAAUCUUAGUCAAAAUGGUGCGGCUUGUAUUCGUGAAAUUACUGUACAUAUUAAAAGCAUUCUAAAGUCAGAAACAACCGUAUAGUCCCAGAUCUUCUGCUGACAUUUAUACCAAGUCUGCCUUGAAUGUCAAAAAUGUGGAUAAAUGGAGUGGAAUUAGAUUGAGUCUUCUAAGGUGCUUACACUGCCAUCAGCUUUUACAGAAACUGAGAUCCCUGCAAUGCAGAUGUCUUGGAACUCAAGAGAAGUUAUUUGCUGUAACUUUGCCUCAUUACAGCAACAACUGCAUUUUCAAACGGACUUAGUAUUGUGGGGUUUUGAGCUUGCUGUAAGCUUUCUGUUGCUGUCCUACUAAACUGAAAUUCAAUGUCCUAAGAAAAGGAGGUUUUCAGUGAAGCUGACUGUAGUGUAGGAACCAUAAAAUCAGUUUCAUGGAAAUAAUUUCAUCUGUCUGUAUUUGAAAGUAUGAAUUUUCAUUGAAAAUUAGCACUUAGUGUUAAUGCUACUGCUGGAAAAGCUAGAUGUCUCAAAUUGUUUCCUUAGUUAUGUGUUUUCUUUUAACUUCACUGGAGAGAUACAAAUGAUUGCAUAUAUACUGUAUGUCAUAUAAGUAUACUUUGAAUUUUCUUCUCUCAUCUUCAAAAUAAAACACCUGUUUCAAAAUCUGCUAGAAUCUGCAAUGAUUUUGGCUUUAGUAAGCCUUGAGUUAAGCCCUAAAGUUCUAGUAGUUCUAGUACUACAAAUCACCAGUGAAUAAUAUUUCACUUAGCUUUUGAUACCUUUCACAGUGCAGAGCAGUACACAGUACAAAUUUUAAAUAUUGUGGGAAAGUACUGCUGCAAAUUAGGAGUCUGCUGACUAAAAAGGCAUUUCAAUAAACUGAGG
rnacentral:lncRNA from 1 species